rnacentral:lncRNA from 1 species
ACGGGUUUUAUUAUUUGGAGGAAGUGUGAUGUUAUUUAUUAAAGUCUUGCAUUUAAUUUCUUAGAUUUUCCAUUUAUGGGUUACUUUCUUUAUUUCUUGCCAUUCUAAUGUCUCAUUGUCUUAUUUUGUGAUUUUAAUUGUUUAGUUGUUUAGCAUGGUUAAUCUUGAAUUUAUUUUCUUGCAUUGUUCUUGUGAUUUUAAUUUUUACCGUUGCAUUGUUUAGUUUAAUGUUUUCAUGCACUUAAUGUUUUCAAUUUUAUGCGGUCGUAUUUAAUUUUUGCUUUUAAUUUCGUCAAUUACAUUCACAAAAUAUUUCAAACCCCCCCACUGUGUUAGACCUGAUUACCGAACCGCAGUUGGUCCUUGAGAGACGACCUAGGAGUCACUCCCUAGCUAUACUGCAUUUCUUAUUAUGCAAUCAAAUUUGUAUGGGCCGCGGCACCCAUCAAAUUUUGGCGCCGUUGCCGGGGAUCAACGGUUCGGUUUUAGGUCUUUGUUUUGUUAGUAUGUGUUGUCUUGUCUUGUGUUGUGAGUGUGAUGUUCUAUUUUGUGUGACGUGUCAUGUGUUUUGCAUUUAGAUAGUUGCAUAUUUUCAUUGCAUUCUUCUUUUUCCCUUCUUUUCGAUGUCUACCUAUUUUGGUUAUGUGAGUAAUGCUUAUUCUGUCUGUGUCUAUGACUCUACUUCUGCAUCUGACUCUGAUAUUGCUUGUGGUGUAUACUCUGCUGAUUUCUAUGUUGAGAACAGAACGGUUCCUCCUCCAUCUCAUGAGAGUGCUCCUAGAGAGUCGUUUCCACUUGAUAAGGAGGAUAUUCGUUGUGUUUUCAACACUAGUCUAAUACACUUGCUGCCUN